AUUAGGGACCCGAGUUGGUGGAUGACGUAGCCGUCACGUGACCAAGAGCUGACGUGUGCAGAAGUCCUUCUUGUUCUGGUCCUUGUUCCCGUCUGAGUACCAGCUCCCCAUUGCCCUGAGGGCCAGCAGGCCUGCGGCAGAGGGAAGGAGGAGGAAAAGAAGGAAAUUGUCCCGGAUUCUUGCAGUCUUUCCGUAGGUUGCGGCACUACACCAGGCAAGAAAAGAGGAAGGAAAUUAACACCAAUCAGUGAAGGUCGAUUUGAAAGUAAGGCUAUCUGGGGACCCUGAGAAGGGCGGUGGUGGGGUUAGGGAGAAACCAGAGAUGGCAAUAAUCUAGGUUAGGGCUGAGUCUGAGUGUGUUUCUUGCACUCUCGGGACUGUGGUGAAAUGGCGUUCAGCGUGUGUGUGUGUGUGUGUGUGUGUGUGUGUGUGUGUGUGUGUCGCGG
rnacentral:lncRNA from 1 species